rnacentral:rRNA from 1 species
GACGAACGCUGGCGGCGUGCCUAAUACGUGCAAGUAGAACGCUGAAGGAGGAGCUUGCUCUUCUGGAUGAGUUGCGAACGGGUGAGUAACGCGUAGGUAACCUGCCUGGUAGCGGGGGAUAACUAUUGGAAACGAUAGCUAAUACCGCAUAACAGUAGAUGUUGCAUGACAUUUACUUAAAAGGUGCAAUUGCAUCACUACCAGAUGGACCUGCGUUGUAUUAGCUAGUUGGUGGGGUAACGGCUCACCAAGGCGACGAUACAUAGCCGACCUGAGAGGGGGAUCGGCCACACUGGGACUGAGACACGGCCCAGACUCCUACGGGAGGCAGCAGUAGGGAAUCUUCGGCAAUGGACGGAAGUCUGACCGAGCAACGCCGCGUGAGUGAAGAAGGUUUUCGGAUCGUAAAGCUCUGUUGUAAGAGAAGAACGAGUGUGAGAGUGGAAAGUUCACACUGUGACGGUAUCUUACCAGAAAGGGACGGCUAACUACGUG